UAAGCGACUAAGCGUACACGGUGGAUGCCCUGGCAGUCAGAGGCGAUGAAGGACGUGCUAAUCUGCGAAAAGCGUCGGUAAGGUGAUAUGAACCGUUAUAACCGGCGAUGUCCGAAUGGGGAAACCCAGUGCAAUUCGUUGCACUAUCGUUAACUGAAUACAUAGGUUAACGAGGCGAACCGGGGGAACUGAAACAUCUAAGUACCCCGAGGAAAAGAAAUCAACCGAGAUUCCCCCAGUAGCGGCGAGCGAACGGGGAGCAGCCCAGAGUCUGAAUCAGCUUGUGUGUUAGUGGAACGGUCUGGAAAGUCCGACGGUACAGGGUGAUAGUCCCGUACACCAAAAUGCACAGGUUGUGAACUCGAAGAGUAGGGCGGGACACGUGGUAUCCUGUCUGAAUAUGGGGGGACCAUCCUCCAAGGCUAAAUACUCCUGACUGACCGAUAGUGAACCAGUACCGUGAGGGAAAGGCGAAAAGAACCCCGGCGAGGGGAGUGAAAAAGAACCUGAAACCGUGUACGUACAAGCAGUGGGAGCACCUUCGGGUGUGACUGCGUACCUUUUGUAUAAUGGGUCAGCGACUUAUAUUCUGUAGCAAGGUUAACCGUAUAGGGGAGCCGCAGGGAAACCGAGUCUUAACUGGGCGUUAAGUUGCAGGGUAUAGACCCGAAACCCGGUGAUCUAGCCAUGGGCAGGUUGAAGGUUGGGUAACACUAACUGGAGGACCGAACCGACUAAUGUUGAAAAAUUAGCGGAUGACUUGUGGCUGGGGGUGAAAGGCCAAUCAAACCGGGAGAUAGCUGGUUCUCCCCGAAAGCUAUUUAGGUAGCGCCUCGUGAAUUCAUCUUCGGGGGUAGAGCACUGUUUCGGCUAGGGGGUCAUCCCGACUUACCAACCCGAUGCAAACUACGAAUACCGAAGAAUGUUAUCACGGGAGACACACGGCGGGUGCUAACGUCCGUCGUGAAGAGGGAAACAACCCAGACCGCCAGCUAAGGUCCCAAAGUCAUGGUUAAGUGGGAAACGAUGUGGGAAGGCACAGACAGCCAGGAUGUUGGCUUAGAAGCAGCCAUCAUUUAAAGAAAGCGUAAUAGCUCACUGGUCGAGUCGGCCUGCGCGGAAGAUGUAACGGGGCUAAACCAUGCACCGAAGCUGCGGCAGCGACACUAUGUGUUGUUGGGUAGGGGAGCGUUCUGUAAGCCUGCGAAGGUGUGCUGUGAGGCAUGCUGGAGGUAUCAGAAGUGCGAAUGCUGACAUAAGUAACGAUAAAGCGGGUGAAAAGCCCGCUCGCCGGAAGACCAAGGGUUCCUGUCCAACGUUAAUCGGGGCAGGGUGAGUCGACCCCUAAGGCGAGGCCGAAAGGCGUAGUCGAUGGGAAACAGGUUAAUAUUCCUGUACUUGGUGUUACUGCGAAGGGGGGACGGAGAAGGCUAUGUUAGCCGGGCGACGGUUGUCCCGGUUUAAGCAUGUAGGCUGAUUAUCCAGGCAAAUCCGGAUAAUCAAGGCUGAGGUGUGAUGACGAGGCACUACGGUGCUGAAGUAACAAAUGCCCUGCUUCCAGGAAAAGCCUCUAAGCAUCAGGUAACAUCAAAUCGUACCCCAAACCGACACAGGUGGUCAGGUAGAGAAUACCAAGGCGCUUGAGAGAACUCGGGUGAAGGAACUAGGCAAAAUGGUGCCGUAACUUCGGGAGAAGGCACGCUGGUGUGUAGGUGAAGCCCCUGCGGGUGGAGCUGAGACCAGUCGAAGAUACCAGCUGGCUGCAACUGUUUAUUAAAAACACAGCACUGUGCAAACACGAAAGUGGACGUAUACGGUGUGACGCCUGCCCGGUGCCGGAAGGUUAAUUGAUGGGGUUAUCCGUAAGGAGAAGCUCUUGAUCGAAGCCCCGGUAAACGGCGGCCGUAACUAUAACGGUCCUAAGGUAGCGAAAUUCCUUGUCGGGUAAGUUCCGACCUGCACGAAUGGCGUAAUGAUGGCCAGGCUGUCUCCACCCGAGACUCAGUGAAAUUGAACUCGCUGUGAAGAUGCAGUGUACCCGCGGCAAGACGGAAAGACCCCGUGAACCUUUACUAUAGCUUGACACUGAACAUUGAGCCUUGAUGUGUAGGAUAGGUGGGAGGCUUUGAAGCGUGGACGCCAGUCUGCGUGGAGCCAACCUUGAAAUACCACCCUUUAAUGUUUGAUGUUCUAACGUUGGCCCCUUACCGGGGUUGCGGACAGUGUCUGGUGGGUAGUUUGACUGGGGCGGUCUCCUCCUAAAGCGUAACGGAGGAGCACGAAGGUUAGCUAAUCCUGGUCGGACAUCAGGAGGUUAGUGCAAUGGCAUAAGCUAGCUUGACUGCGAGCGUGACGGCGCGAGCAGGUGCGAAAGCAGGUCAUAGUGAUCCGGUGGUUCUGAAUGGAAGGGCCAUCGCUCAACGGAUAAAAGGUACUCCGGGGAUAACAGGCUGAUACCGCCCAAGAGUUCAUAUCGACGGCGGUGUUUGGCACCUCGAUGUCGGCUCAUCACAUCCUGGGGCUGAAGUAGGUCCCAAGGGUAUGGCUGUUCGCCAUUUAAAGUGGUACGCGAGCUGGGUUUAGAACGUCGUGAGACAGUUCGGUCCCUAUCUGCCGUGGGCGCUGGAGAAUUGAGGGGGGCUGCUCCUAGUACGAGAGGACCGGAGUGGACGCAUCACUGGUGUUCGGGUUGUCAUGCCAAUGGCACUGCCCGGUAGCUAAAUGCGGAAGAGAUAAGUGCUGAAAGCAUCUAAGCACGAAACUUGCCCCGAGAUGAGUUCUCCCUGAGACUUUAAGUCUCCUGAAGGAACGUUGAAGACGACGACGUUGAUAGGCCGGGUGUGUAAGCGCAGCGAUGCGUUGAGCUAACCGGUACUAAUGAACCGUGAGGCUUAACCU
rnacentral:rRNA from 1 species